rnacentral:rRNA from 1 species
GACGAACGCUGGCGGCGUGCUUAACACAUGCAAGUCGAGCGGUAAGGCCCUUUCGGGGGUACACGAGCGGCGAACGGGUGAGUAACACGUGGGUGACCUGCCCUCAGCUCUGGGAUAAGCCUGGGAAACCGGGUCUAAUACUGGAUAUGACUCCAUGACGCAUGUUGUGGGGUGGAAAGCCUUGUGCGGCUGAGGAUGGGCCCGCGGCCUAUCAGCUUGUUGGUGGGGUGACGGCCUACCAAGGCGACGACGGGUAGCCGGCCUGAGAGGGCGACCGGCCACACUGGGACUGAGACACGGCCCAGACUCCUACGGGAGGCAGCAGUGGGGGAUCUUGCGCAAUGGGCGAAAGCCUGACGCAGCGACGCCGCGUGAGGGAUGACGGCCCUCGGGUUGUAAACCUCUUUCAGCUCCGACGAAGCGAGAGUGACGGUAGGAGCAGAAGAAGCACCGGCCGACUACGUGCCAGCAGCCG